rnacentral:rRNA from 1 species
CAGUCGCCACGGGAAUACGAAGGGGGCUAGCGUUGCUCGGAAUGACUGGGCGUAAAGGGCGCGUAGGCGGCGGCCAAAGUCAGGCGUGAAAUUCCCGGGCUCAACCUGGGGGCUGCGUUUGAUACUUGGUUGCUUGAGUGGGGAAGAGGGUCGUGGAAUUCCCAGUGUAGAGGUGAAAUUCGUAGAUAUUGGGAAGAACACCGGUGGCGAAGGCGGCUACCUGGUCCUUUACUGACGCUGAGGCGCGAAAGCGUGGGGAGCAAACAGGAUUAGAGACCCCCGUAGUCCCUGUCUCUUAUAC